rnacentral:rRNA from 1 species
UACGUAGGGUGCGAGCGUUGUCCGGAAUUAUUGGGCGUAAAGAGCUCGUAGGCGGUCUGUCGCGUCUGCUGUGAAAUCCCGAGGCUCAACCUCGGGCCUGCAGUGGGUACGGGCAGACUAGAGUGCGGUAGGGGAGAUUGGAAUUCCUGGUGUAGCGGUGGAAUGCGCAGAUAUCAGGAGGAACACCGAUGGCGAAGGCAGGUCUCUGGGCCGCAACUGACGCUGAGGAGCGAAAGCGUGGGGAGCGAACAGG